UCCCAGCUCUGUGGCAGCAGACCCAGGACAGGGUCAGGAGGUGCCUCUCCUGGAGGUGUGUCCUCAGCUGGGACCUCCCCCUGACCUGGGGCUGCUGGAACUUGGGUCCCCAUGAGCAG